GGGCCCUUAGCUCAGCGGUUAGAGCAGUGGACUCAUAAUCCAUUGGUCGCUGGUUCGAAUCCAGCAGGGCCCA
rnacentral:tRNA from 2 species